rnacentral:tRNA from 2 species
GGCCCCGUGGCGCAAUGGUAGCGCGUCUGACUCCAGUUCAGAAGGCUGGGUGUUCGAGUCACUCCGGGGUCA